rnacentral:rRNA from 1 species
CCGCAGCCCAAGUGGUGAUCAUUAUUAUUGAGCCUAAAGCGUUCGUAGCCUGUCUGUUAAAUCCUCAGGUAAAUCGGCCAGCUUAACUGUCCGAAUUCCGAGGAGACUGGCAGACUUGGGACCGGGAGAGGUCAGAGGUACUCUUGGGGUAGGGGUAAAAUCCUGUAAUCCUGAGAGGACCACCAGUGGCGAAGGCGUCUGACUAGAACGGAUCCGACGGUGAGGGACGAAGCCCUGGGGCGCAAACCGGAUUAGAUACCCGAGUAGUCC